rnacentral:rRNA from 1 species
UGAGGAAUAUUGGUCAAUGGGCGCAAGCCUGAACCAGCCAUGCCGCGUGAAGGAUGAAGGCCCUAUGGGUUGUAAACUUCUUUUGUAUGGAACGAAACCCCUGAACGUGUUCAGGGCUGACGGUACUGUACGAAUAAGCAUCGGCUAACUCCGUGCCAGCAGCCGCGGUAAUACGGAGGAUGCAAGCGUUAUCCGGAUUUAUUGGGUUUAAAGGGUGCGUAGGCGGAAUAGUAAGUCAGUGGUGAAAUCCUGCAGCUUAACUGCAGAACUGCCGUUGAUACUGCUAUUCUUGAGUACAGUUGAGGUGGGUGGAAUGUGUGGUGUAGCGGUGAAAUGCUUAGAUAUCACACAGAACACCGAUUGCGAAGGCAGCUCACUAAGCUGUUACUGACGCUGAGGC